CUAAUCACAUAUUAAAACAGUUAAACAAAAAAAUUUCCACAUAUUUGACUAUUUAAUAUUUAUUUAAAAAUUAUAUUUCGUUAAUUAUCUGACUAUAUAUAUAUAUAUAUAUUAUUUACAAAUUUAUUCGAUUUUUCGUUUCACAAUUUCUUUAAUUAAUUAUCUUAAUUGGUUAGGUAAAAAAAAUAUUAUUCAAUUUAAUUUAUUCUUUUAAUAUUUCGUUAAUCAUGUGUUUUAUUUAUUUCAUAUUUAAUUACUCUAUUUCGAUUAUUUAUUUUAAUAAUAUUUAUUCGAUUUUUCCUUUUACAAUUUCUUUAAUUAAUUAUUUUAGUUCGUUAAGUAAAAAAAAUAUUGUUUUUUAAUUUAUUCUUUAAAUAUUUCGUUAAUUAUGUAUAUUAUUUAUUUCGAUUAUUUAUUUGAAUAAAAAUAAUAAUCUUUAUUCGAUUUUUUGUUUCACCAUUUCUUUAAUUAAUUAUCUUAAUUGGUUAGGUAAAAAAAUAUUAUUCAAUUUCAUUUAUUCUUUAAAUAUUUCCUUAAUCCUGUGUUUUAUUUAUUUCAUAUUUAAUUACUCUAUUUCGAUUAUUUAUUUGAAUAAUAUCUAUUCGAUUUUUCCAUUUACUAUUUAUUUAAUUCAUUAUCUUAGUUCGUUAAGUAAAAAAGAUAUUGCUUUUUUUAAUUUAUUCUUUAAAUAAUUCGUUAAUUAUUUAUAUUAUUUAUUUCAUAUUUAAUUAAUCAAUUUUAAUUAUUUAUUUGAAACGUAUAUUUAAGUAAAAAAGAAAAAAAAAUUAAAACUCAAUUUAAUUUAUCUUUAAAUAUUUUGUUAAUUCUCUUAAUAUAUAAUUUAUUUUAUAUUUCAUUUUAUUUCUUAAUAUAAAAAUAAAACAACAAUUUUGAAAAAAAGAAAAAUUUAUUUUUGACCCAAAUCCGGGUCCGGACCUGGAGUUGGGCCGGCUAGCCGACCCGGACCAAAAUUCGGGUCGGUGUGUCUGGACUAGUCCGGGUCAUGUGGUCCGGACCAGUCCGAUAGCCGUAACGGACCAUCACUGUGGUCCGUAACGGACCAUAUUAAUGGUCUGUUACGGACCAGCAGCGACGGAGCCGCCGGAAAACUCCUUUUUCGGCGAGCUCCGUCCCUUUUUUCACUCUUUUUCAACAUUUAACCUCAAAUUCGAUAUUUUCUUACAUUUUAACCAUAAAAACAUGAAUUUAACCCAUAUUCUUAUCCUAAACAUUCAAACUUUCACAAAUUCGAAGUAGUUAUUUAUAGAAAACAUGUCUAACCUUCCAGAACGGUCUCCGACGAAUCGAGGUGGCUCUGGUCUUAGUCGAAGUUGGUGAGGUCCGGGCAGUCCGUAGGCUACGUCGACGGUCCGGGCAGAUUUUUUCUUUUUUUUUCUCUUCUUUUUUUCUCUCUAUUUUCUCUUCUCUUCUUUCCUUGAUGGGGGGUAUUUUCGACCCUACACAAAUAAUAACAUUUUCCCUCUUUUUUUUUUCUUUUUUUUUAAAACUUGGUCAAAGGCUAUUUUGAUAAACAUACCG
rnacentral:sRNA from 1 species